AUAAAAAUGAACAAGCCCGACCCUGUCUGAUCUCGGAAGCUAAGCAGAGUCAGGCCUGGUUAGUACUUGGAUGGGAGACCACAUAGGAAGCAGGGA
rnacentral:rRNA from 1 species